AGAGUUUGAUUAUGGCUCAGAUUGAACGCUGGCGGCAGGCCUAACACAUGCAAGUCGAGCGGUAGAGAGAAGCUUGCUUCUCUUGAGAGCGGCGGACGGGUGAGUAAUGCCUAGGAAUCUGCCUGGUAGUGGGGGAUAACGUUCGGAAACGGACGCUAAUACCGCAUACGUCCUACGGGAGAAAGCAGGGGACCUUCGGGCCUUGCGCUAUCAGAUGAGCCUAGGUCGGAUUAGCUAGUUGGUGAGGUAAUGGCUCACCAAGGCGACGAUCCUUAGCUGGUCUGAGAGGAUGAUCAGCCACACUGGGACUGAGACACGGCCCAGACUCCUACGGGAGGCAGCAGUGGGGAAUAUUGGACAAUGGGCGAAAGCCUGAUCCAGCAAUGCCGCGUGAGUGAUGAAGGCCUUAGGGUUGUAAAGCUCUUUUACCCGGGAUGAUAAUGACAGUACCGGGAGAAUAAGCUCCGGCUAACUCCGUGCCAGCAGCCGCGGUAAU
rnacentral:rRNA from 1 species